rnacentral:rRNA from 1 species
UACGGGGGGAGCAAGCGUUGUUCGGAUUUACUGGGCGUAAAGGGCGCGUAGGCGGUCAGCACAAGUCAGUUGUGAAAUCUCCGGGCUUAACUCGGAAAGGUCAACUGAUACUGUGCGACUAGAGUGCGGAAGGGGCAACUGGAAUUCUCGGUGUAGCGGUGAAAUGCGUAGAUAUCGAGAGGAACACCAGUGGCGAAGGCGAGUCUCUGGACACUUCCUGACGCUGAGGCACGAAAGCCAGGGGAGCAAACGGG